rnacentral:rRNA from 1 species
GUGGGGAAUAUUGCGCAAUGGAGGCAACUCUGACGCAGCCAUGCCGCGUGCAGGAAGAAGGCGCUACGCGUUGUAAACUGCUUUUAACCGGGAAGAAACCCCAGGACGUGUCCUGGGUUGACGGUACCGGAGGAAUAAGCACCGGCUAACUUCGUGCCAGCAGCCGCGGUAAUACGAAGGGUGCAAGCGUUAUCCGGAUUCAUUGGGUUUAAAGGGUGCGUAGGCGGAGCGUUAAGUCAGUGGUGAAAUCCUGCAGCUUAACUGUAGACUUGCCAUUGAUAGUGGCGCUCUUGAGUGCGCUUGAAGUGGGCGGAAUGUGCCGUGUAGCGGUGAAAUGCUUAGAUAUGGCACAGAACACCAAUUGCGAAGGCAGCUCACUAAGGCGAUACUGACGCUGAGGCACGAAAGCGUGGGGAUCGAACAGGAUUAGAAACCCUAGUAGUCC